GGAAUAUAACUUGUGCGCGAGUCACUGGGACCUCGGAGAAAUCCCAGAUGCGAAGUGAAAGAGGUACGCACCYUUCGCGGGUUGCCCGGGGAGGACGGCGACGGGCUAACCGGCGCCCGCACUCACGGGGCGCCUCGGCUUUCGGCCGCASGCGCUCUCGGAGCGUACACGUUGAGACCCGAAAGAUGGUGAACUAUGCCWGGUCAGGACGAAGUCAGGGGAAACACUGAUGGAGAUCCGCAGCGAUUCUGASGUGCAAAUCGAUCGUCAGAGCUGGGUAUAGGGGAGAAAGAGAAAUCGAACGAUCUAGUAGCUGGUUCCCUCCGAAGUAUCCCUCAGGAUAUCUGGCGUCCAUUUCGACCGGAAUGAAUCUCAUCCGGUAAAGCGAAUGAUUAGAGKUCUAGGGGSUGAAACGAMCUCAACUUAUUCUCAAACUUUAAAUGGGUGAGAUCUCCGGCUUGCUUGACUCAAGCCGCGAGGUCUGGAUCAGGGGUGUCAAAGUGGGUCAUUUUUG
rnacentral:rRNA from 1 species